rnacentral:rRNA from 1 species
UUCCUACGGGAGGCAGCAGUGAGGAAUCUUGCGCAAUGGGGGCAACCCUGACGCAGCAACGCCGCGUGAGUGAUGAAGGCCUUCGGGUCGUAAAGCUCUGUCAGGCGGAAAGAAAGUUUUCAGGGUGAACAAUCCUGGAGAUUGACGGUACCGCCAAAGGAAGCACCGGCUAACUCCGUGCCAGCAGCCGCGGUAAUACGGAGGGUGCUAGCGUUGUUCGGAAUUAUUGGGCGUAAAGAGCGUGUAGGCGGCCUCGUAAGUCAGAUGUGAAAGCCCUUGGCUUAACCAAGGAAGUGCAUUUGAAACUGCUUGGCUUGAGUACGGGAGGGGAAAGCGGAAUUCCCGGUGUAGAGGUGAAAUUCGUAGAUAUCGGGAGGAACACCGGUGGCGAAGGCGGCUUUCUGGACCGAUACUGACGCUGAGACGCGAAAGCGUGGGGAGCAAACAGGAUUAGAUACCCUUGUAGUCA